rnacentral:misc_RNA from 1 species
GCCAGAAUACCCACUCCAGAAAAAUGAAAAAAAGAAAAGGAAAAAAGACUCGUUAUAGCUACUAUCUUCUGUAUUUUGCUACGUAGGCAAGACCCAUACUAUAUUAGAACAAAUACUUUAUGCUACUUGCUACUUAUUAUAGCAUUAUCUGCAUUCCCUGUACUGAAAUGUUCCAGAGAGCAGGCAAGUUUGGUGUACUGUUAAUGUACUAUAGUUCUGACUAUCAGUGUUUGUUAUAACAUUUCUGUAUUGUCACCAUCUUCAAGCGCCAUCUUCAAAAUGUAAAUGAAAUGAUGAAACUCCAGGUGAGAAAUCUUAAUGCAGGGUAGUUAGGUUCCAUCAAUAAAAGUUGAAGGGUUCUUGGAAGUUUCCCUAUCUACAAAUGUUAGUAAGUUUGUAAGUAUGAGGAAAUUUCCUCUUGGCUCUCUCUAUCUAUUUUCAAUAUAUUUUCCUUCCAGCAACUCAUAACAGGUUAAAAGAAAAUUUUGACUCAGAUUGUUCUUAAAUUUUUAAUUAAAAGAAAUGAGCAAUUGUCCAGGUUUAUACCAGGAUAUUGGCAAAAAGGCCAGAGGUUAUCGUCUUCUCUUCUCUUCACAUCCUGUCUUGCUUUCUACUACAUUAUCUUUUUGAACUUUACUUUUCUUGAUAAAUUACUCAUAGGUUUGUUUACAUUUUCACUAGAUCUUCUCUACAGAGAUUACGCUCAUCAACCAAAAACUCAUUUUCAUUACCGGAACAUCAAGUGGAAUUUUGAUCUCUCAUGUGAAACACCGGAAAUUUUGCCUGGAGUCACAACAUUUUUCAGAUUCACAAUUCCUGAUUCUUGUAAGGUGGAACUCAGAUUCUUGGGUGACUAUUUCGGGAUCGCUGCAGGCGUUGAAAUGCAGGCAUGUGAACAGGGACCCUUUAGAGGAAAGGGAUAUAACCCAUUUGUAAAUUUAUCAGGUUUAGCAGGAAACACUUUUUUCUCUCUUGGGACUGACAUUUCCUUCAAUGUAGCAACAAGGAAUUUUGAUGAAUUCAGUGCUGGUUUGAGCUUCAACAGUCCCUUCCUUAUUUCUGCCUUGAACUUGGAUGACAAACUUGAUGCUGUAAAAGCUUCCUGUCACUAUACGUUCAAUCCCCUUACCACGACUGCCAUUGCAGCUGAAUUGAAUCAUAAUUUUUCAGAAAAUGGAGCAACCACAGUUACAGUUGGCGCACAACAUUCCUUUUUUCCAUUUACAUUGAUGAAGGUUCGUGUGAACAAUGAAGCCAAAAUUGGUGGGCUAAUUCGGAUGGAACUGUGGGAAAAGCUCCUAGUAGCCGCAACAGGGGAGUUGGAUUUCAGGGCUGCAAACAAAAUUUCUAAGAUUGGAAUGUCCAUAAAUUUCAAUCUCUAGAGCGGCUUCGCUUGAGAAUAAAUACUGUUAUUUUGAGUUUAUAUGACAGCCUCCAUUCCAUCAAGAUUUAUAUAUAGUUUUUAUUUUUUGUAUUCCUUUAUUAAUACAACAAACGUUGGGGAAAGUGAUUAGCGGAGUAUGUACAAAACAUGCGGAUAUACAAA